rnacentral:tRNA from 1 species
GGCUGUGUGGUCUAGUGGUAUGAUUCUCGCUUAGGGUGCGAGAGGACCCAAAUUCAGUUCUCGGCACAGCCC